ACAUAAAUACAUUUGUCUAUACUAGCUUCUGUUUACAUUUAUAUUUUUCAAGUGAAAAUCAUAAGUCAAUUCCGGAAAUUUCUCAGUUGUAAGUUUUGAUGUAAAAAUGUAACUAUUGUUGCGCAGUGGUGUAUAGAUGCGGCUAUCGUAAUUUUUCAUGUGUAAAAAGGCCAAUAUUUCUUAUUAAGUCGACUGAGGAUAUUAUACAUAGGUAUAAGGAAAAUGAAUUGAUUCAUUGGCUGGCGACCAGUUCAGGGUGUACCCUGCCUCUCACCCAAAGAUAGCUGGGAGGGGCUCCAAGCAAGCCCUAGUGAGGAUAAGUGGAUGAAUGAUGAUUCACUGAGACGCUGUGCAGAUUCGCAUGCAAACAAAUCAGCCUAAUAAAAUACACAAAUAUUUCAUGCUUUGAGCCUGGAGAGGAGUAAAUUGAUGUUGACAGACCUGAGGACAGCAUGAAGUGCUUCAUUGAAUUUGGUCCCUCGUUGCUUCUCACCACUGAUGGUCACCCACGACUGGUUCAGGAAGCUCCGCGCAAGAGAAGCUAAGUGGGCAAAACAAACAAACAUCAUGGCCGCCCACUAGAAAGUAGAGGAGGCAAUUGGUCAACAGCUGAGAGAGAGACAGAGCUGAGCUGAGAUUCGGAACGGUGCUGCGGAAGUUCAGCAGUCUUCUUACUCACUUUACAAGAAGCUCCAGGUUCAGCUCAUCUUCUCCAUCUUUCAGUCGUCCUGCAAAGACUUGCAAAGCUUUCUUCACAGCGAACCUUGAGGAAAGGUACUCUCUUGGCAGAAGAAGCAGUCAGACGAAACUCCACUUUGCGAAGCAUAUCUUCCAGCAGGAGCAGUGGUGCUGGGUAAAAUCACAUCUGUAGUCUCUCCAUCAAAGUUAGCAACAGGUGGAACAUAUCCAGGAGUUCCUGGAACAAAGACAGCAAUUUUAAAACUCUCUGAGACUGGUAAUGAGAGUUGAUACUGUGUACGUGAUACCCACCGGCCAAAGCCUUCUCCAACAGGGUCUGAAGUUACCUCUCUGAACCAGUUGAUGGUGUGAAAUAGCAGCGUGCAAAUGAACUCCCGCUCCACUUUGGACAGGCUGUCGAUUUUUUCAACAACAUCCAUGUCUGUUAGUAUGAGAGGGCAGCCUGAAAGCCCACAAAAAUUCACAAGCAUGGAUUCAAGAUUUUUAAGAGCCACACAAUGAUAAAGAAUAAGAACCGCAGCAGGCGGAAAAAUGGUGACAAACAGAGAGAACUCCUGAUGACAAAAGAACUGUUAAAUUCACCAGUUGGCAGUUAAAUGUGUAACCCAGAUAGAUGAA